rnacentral:rRNA from 1 species
UACGAAGGGGGCUAGCGUUAAUCGGAAUUACUGGGCGUAAAGCGUGCGUAGGCGGUUCGUUAAGUCAGCUGUGAAAGCCCCGGGCUCAACCUGGGAAUUGCGGUUGAAACUGGCGAACUAGAAUCUGGCAGAGGGGGGUGGAAUUCCACGUGUAGCAGUGAAAUGCGUAGAGAUGUGGAGGAACACCGAUGGCGAAGGCAGCCCCCUGGGCUGAGAUUGACGCUCAGGCACGAAAGCGUGGGGAGCAAACAGG